rnacentral:rRNA from 1 species
CGCCAGGGGUACAGCUGGGUAGCUACGUCGGGAACGGAUAAACGCUGAAAGCAUCUAAGCGUGAAACCGGCCUCAAGAUGAGGUCUCUCACAGCGCAAGCUGGUAAGGCCCCUUGUAGAACACGAGGUUGAUAGGCCAGGAGUGUAAGGUGAGUAAUCACUUCAGCUGACUGGUACUAAUAGGCCGAGGGCUUGACUUA